UGCGCAGGCGGGAAGGUAAGUCAAUGGUGAAAUCUCACAGCUUAACUGUGAAACUGCCAUUGAUACUGCUUUUCUUGAGUUUGGGAGAGGGUGGUGGAAUUCUUGGUGUAGCGGUGAAAUGCGUAGAUAUCAAGAAGAACACCAGUGGCGAAGGCGGCCACCUGGCCCAUAACUGACGCUCAUGCACGAAAGCUGGGAUCAAACA
rnacentral:rRNA from 1 species